CUUUUUUUCUCUCCAAAUCACUCUUUUACCGAAAUCGCUUUUUCUCCAAAUCACUCUUUUUCUUCAUGGUCAAAAUCACUUUUUCUCUAAAUCACUUUUUUCCUUCACUGAAUCGAUCGAAAUCACUUUUUCUCCAAAUCACUCUUUUUCUUCACUGAAUCGAUUGAAAUCGUUGUUUCUCCGACUGAAGUAGCUACUUCUCCGUCAUCGAGCAAACCUCUACUUCUCCUUCUUCAAUCGAAACCACCGUUUCUCCGUCAUCAAUCUAAAUCUCUACUUCUUCUUCAUCAAUCGAAAUCGCUGCUUCUCCUUCGUCGAUCAAAAUCCCUGUUUCUCCGUCAUCGAUCGAAAUCGCUGCUUCUCCAUCAUCGAUCGAAAUUUAUCCUUCUUAAUUGGAGAUCGCUGCUUCAAAUUUUGAAUCAGUUACUUUACCAUUCAAAAUUGCUCACGCAUUUCUCAAAACCUAAUACUUGAGGUAAUUGUUUUUCCUUGAAUCAAGUCUCACAUAUUCACUUAUUCUUAAAAUUUAUCUGAAAAAUCUCUUUCUCCGAUUCACAUGGUUCCUAUCAUAACAAUUCGUCGUUGAGGCAUCUCUUUUUUAUCUUCGCUACAACGGUGCAUUUUCUCUGAUCGAAACUAUCGAUAUUCAUUUUCACUGAUUUUAAGGAAAUUGUUUCGGUUGCAAAUAUUAAAUCUGUUUAAGUCAAUUUCAGAAUAUUGAGACAAACAUUAAGAUAAGACUUAACAUUGAAGUUGUAAUUCCUUUGAUUGCUACAAAGAAUGCAAAGAACUCCAAUUACAUGGAAGCGACCCUCGUUUAAGAUCUCUAACAAGGUAUGGUUAAGAUUUGAUGUUUGAAGAUUUUUCUUCAUAUUCUAUCACUUUAUAUAUGAUUUGAUUAUAUUCCUUGACAAUUUGUGCAAGACUGAUAAAACAGAAUCCAUAUAAAAGUUAUAGGGUUUUAUAUAAAAGAGAAACAAUGUAGACUUUUGACUGUGAUUAUUGUUUUAUAAAUUAUAUAAAACUUAGUAGUAACCCUUUUCCACGCUAAUACUAAAUUUGUGAUUCUAAUUAAACAAGGAAACUAGUCUUGAGUCAUGACAGAAACUAGACUUAAUGUUGUGGGCACUAUGGUUGUAGUUCCAUAAAGUUGUCCUUACAUUCACUAGUGUUAAGUGUACUGAGUCAAUCAACUCCUUUACUUCAACUACUUUAAACACAAGCAUCCAUUUCAAACCCCUUUACACAAUCCUAGAAUGAAAAAAAUGUAGAUCAUUAACAUGACACAUUAAAGCAAUAAAUUGUUUCCAUAAUAUAUCUAGAGAGGCUUAAUUGUGAUUAUAUUGUUAAUUAAUUCCUUACGCUUUGCGUGUUUUCCAUCUUCCAAUUUAUUUUUGGUCCCUUAUGUUAAAUACUUUGGCAAUAUUUAUGAAUAGUCAGUGGGGUGCUUUUGUGGAAAUAAGGAAAACCAGUGUAAAUAUCUUGCCUUAAUAAUGAUUUUGAUAUCAUGGAUGACAUCUUUCUAUUUGUCCAAUAACUGAUUUUGUUAGCAUUUGAAUAACUUUUAACAUAACAUGGUAUUGAACCUUGCUGAUAAUCUAGUGUAAUUUUAGCAUGUUUUUCCAGCAGUUUGGGUGACAUGGGAUUGUUGAGUCUACUUUUAAACGGUAUCUUGCUAUUUGGAAAUCCAUUGGCGCGAGCAUGUAUGGAAUGGGUCUGCUACGCACUUCUUCUUUGUUAGUGUCUUUUAAAGGCCUACUGUUGGGUUUUACGUAGCAGUUUGUUUUGCAGAAGCCGCGAGCAUAUCCGGAACAAGUUUGUUGCUUGCUUAUUCAUUUGUUACUGUGUAUUUGUUGAAGGUUCUCAAAGGAAUGUUGAUUAAGUAAGCAUAAGAUUCUAAUGUAUAUUAUAAAAUAAUAUUUUUAAUUCAUGUUGAAUAGUUGCUAGAAAAAUUGAACGAAAAGCAAAGACAAGAAGAGGAAAUUCUCAGUAAUUAGAAAGCUUGAUCAAGCAGAAGUUAAAAAGCUCAUAGGAAGAUCCAUUGAUAAAGCCAAAUGAAAUAUUACACGGGAGAUAUUUGUCAUUUCUUCAACAAAACUAGUUUUUUGGGCUCUAUGCAAUUAUUUCAUAACAAGAGUGGGUCAAAACCUAUGAGGAAGAAGAGGAGGCACAGUCCUCGGCCUUAUUCCAGCUGCAACCCUUAUAUUUGCAGGAUUCUCCAAUGAUGAUUCCAAUUUCUAAGAGCCUAAGUUUGAGAGCCUUAGGUGCUCCAACAAUGUUGCUCUCUUUGGCGCUACAUGAAAUCUUUAGAGGGUUCAAAGACACAACAAUUCCUACAUAUGUUAUUUGUUUGGCCAUGCAAGGAAUCUUUAGAGGGUUAAAAAAUACAACUCCUUUAAAUGUCUAAUAUGUCAUGAAAUUCAGGCCAAAUUAGAGAAUGUGAUCGAGAAGAUGAGUGGCACUACUUUGAAUUCUUUACCACAAUUUUCAGGUCCACCCCACCAGCUGCAACUCAACAUCAAUGCCUUCAAGUGGAGGAUCUCAGAAUAGGAGAAAAGUUAUAUAUAUUUAGGAGGUCUCUUAAACCGUAAGAUGCUCAUGAGUUAAAUUCUUUAUUGUUAGUUGUUUCGUUAAAAUUGUUGUAGUGUAAGACAUGCUUAAAUGUGAGUAUUUGCAAAUGUAGAGUGAGUUAAUCAAACUUGAGUAGUUCCAAUCUAUUUUGGAAACUAGAGUUGUGACAAAAUAAGAGUUGUGAUUUAUGAAGUUGAAAUAAAAUAGAAUGUGAUUUUGAUGGA